GGUCCUGACUCGCUCAAUCGGUAGUGCAUGGCAUCAACGUUGCCAGGGUUAAGGGUUCAAGUCCCACUGGGACCA